rnacentral:lncRNA from 1 species
AAAAAUACAAAAAAAGUAGCCGGACGUGGUGGUAGGAGCCUGUAAUCCCAGCUACUCCGCAGGCUGAGGCAGGAGAAUUGCUUGAAUCUGGGAGGCGGAGCUUGCAGUAAGCAAAGAUCGCACCACUGCACUCCAGCCUAGGCGACAGAGCUAGACUGCAGAAGAAAAAGAGAAAGAGAGGGGAGAAGAGGUCAAGUGUGGAAACAGCAAGAAGGCUGCUGUCUGCAAGCCAAGAAGAGAGCCCUCGCCAGAAACCAAAUUAUCCAGACCCUGGAUAUUGGAUUUCCAGCCUCCAGAAUGAUACGGCUAAGACCGCAGGCAUGGUGGCAUGCAGCCGGUAGUCUCAGCUACUUGGAAGGCUGGAGCAGGAGGACCACUUGAACCCAGGAGAUCAAGACUGCAGUGAGUUAUGAUGGCACCACUGCACUCCAGCCUGGGCAAAAGAGCAAGACAUCAUCUCUAAAAGCUAAUUAUAUAAAAAGAAAAGAAAGAAAUGGCAAAGACACCCAGAAUCCACACUUCCAUAAGUUCCUUUCCCAUAAUACAAGACUUGAGUAACCACACAUUUCCUCCUUUCAGUGUGUGUUCUGGUAAAUGUGGAUGCUAAAUAACCAGGAUGAGGGAAGCAGGAAGUAUCUGGAGACAGAGCAUUCUCUCUGGUCUGAGGGCCACCUGUGCUGUGUAUGCAGCUGGCUGCCUUUAAAGAAAAGCACAUUUAUAAAAGGCUUUCCUCAGCUAGAGAUAGUCUGGGAAGGUGUGCUGAUGGACCACAAAGACCCGAGAAUCAUUUUGGAGACAUCCACCUCCACAACGUGAAAAUGUAAAGGAGAGGGCUGGAGAGGGGGUAACCCCUUUAACUUGGGGAGAUAAAGGUUAUGGACAGAGGCACAGCACAUUGGGGGAAGCAGGGAAUGACUAGGACAUCUUGGCAAGGACACACGUUAUUGGAGAAGACCAAAAUGGGGAUGUGGGAGUAAAAGAGCGCCACCACAGAGGCUUACCAUCUUUAAUUUCACUCAGCAGCUUCCCAACAGGGGACACCCAGCAGGAUGGCAGGCAGAUGGCACAGGGGGUCACUACAGCCACAAAAGAUAACAUAUUUAUAUAAUUCUUGUAUGAAAAAUGCAUGUUAUAGUAAUAAUUCGGCCUGAGGGUGAGAUAAAAAUCCCAGACUGUGCCAACAAAAAUGGACAGAGGAAUUGAGAGAAGGGGUAGCCAGGUGAGAAAAAAAGGAUGUUCAUUUCUUAAUUUUCUCAAGAGUGACGAAAAAAUCAAGAAAUACUUUUGUUUCUGAAGUUGAUAAUAUACUAAUUCCUAUACUUCUCUAUUUAGAGAUAUAAGGGUAACCACCAAAAGACAGACCGUCUCCCAAAAAAGAGCAAAAAGAGAAGGGGCAAAAGAAAAAAAAAAAAAAAAGAGUGCCAAAACCACAGGCAAUGUAGUGAAAGAUUUUUUUUUUAAGUGCUGCAAUAUCAAACAUCUGUUAAAAGGGAAAAACCCAAAUUGGGCUAAAAGGGGGAAAAAAUGACAAGAAAUCUAACAAGAUAUUUUAUAUAAGAGGCACACCUAAAACAGACUUGAGAAAAAUUGAAAAUGAAAGUUUGGGCAGUGAAAUAUCAUAAUAUAAAGCAAAUGUAAGUUUUAAAAGCCAAGGGACUAGAUAUAAAAUUCAAUUUUCAUUUUAAGGUAAAGAUCAUCACACAAAUGGUGUCACUCUGCAUAUUAGGAGACAAGCUGGGGUGGGGGAAGUCCGUAACAUUUAGACUCCAAAGUGUUAAUUUCUCUAACAUGUGAAUAUCUUAUGCAGUCAAGCAAGAGGGACACAACUCAACAGAAAAAUUAGAAAGAGGAUAUCAAAGUCACAGAACACAGAUAGCAAUAAACAUUUCAAGAGGUAUUUGCCCUCAAUAAUAGAUAAAUGCCUCCCUGCCCUAUUAGAUUGGCUAAUCAUACACAGACAAAUGUAGAGUAGCAAGAACACCCACCACAAUAAUGAAAAGUGUAAAUUCAUGCAGACUUUAGGUAACUUGCUAUUAAAAUUUUUUAAUGUUAUAUCCUUUAAUCCAGCCCUUCCACAUCCAGAAUUAUAUUCUUGGGGAAAAAAGCAACACUCAGACAAAUGCUUGAAGAUAGGCUGGAGUACAAUGGCACAAUCAUGGCUCAUUGCAGCCUCAAACUCCCGGACUCAAGUGAUCGUCCCGCCUCAGUCUCCCAAGUAGCUGGGACUACAUGUGUGAGCCAUCUUGCCCAGACCAUAAGUGGACGAUUUUUUAAAGAAAGGUCUCCUUAUGCAGAAGCAAGCAAACAGCAAACCAGUAUGUACUACAUAGUUCGUUCUUGCCCAAAUCAUCCCCUAACCACCAAAACAGAAAGAUGAACCACAUUGAUUUAGCAAGAGUACAGGAGAAAGAUCUAGAAGACAUAGAUCCACUCCACAGUACUUUCUUCUAAGUGGGAAGGGAAUGGGGAAGGAGGAGGGGUGUGUGUGGGGGGGAACUUUUCCCUUACUUCAAUACAUCUUUGUGUGAUUUGAGAAAUAUGUCACUUUAGUAAUUCAAAGUAUUAAAAUAUAUUUUUAAAGUGUGUUUAUGUCCAACUGCUAUAAAACAAACCCCAAAACUACCUUUUGUCCUAUAUAGUGUUAAAGAGUAAAAUUUAUCGAAUUAUGAUAAUCUAAAAUUUAGCAGCAAGAAUUUAGAAAAAGACUUCAUUAGCUUUUUGUGUUGUUUCUAGAAGAGAAUGGGAAAUUAUCUGCAAGUGAACACUUCUAGUUUAUACACGUCCAAACUCAGCAAAUCAUAUAAAUUAAACAUGUGCAGGGACUUUUUGUGUAUUAUACCUCAAUAAAGCUAUACAAACAUUUUUCUUAGGCUAUCAGCUUUACUCUCUAGUAUUAAAACAGGUAGCAAAAGCCAUGUCUGUGGGAAUUUGGAUGACAGGACACAGAUGUGUGAAGAUAGGAAAGUGAUGUUUACUAUUAUUGGGCACACGAAUGACACAAGAUUCAUUCUAGCAAGGGAUACCUUAGGCAUAACCAGAGUUCCAGCUGUGUGUUCAGGGGUCUCAUGCGCAGAAAAACAGUCCUUUCCAUUUCCAUCCACUGCACAGCCAUAGCUGUAGCCAGAAAGAAGGUAAGAGCCGUGCUGUCGCGCAUACCAGUUGCCAUAGCGGUAACUCUGGCUGGGCUGGAACUCCUGCUUCACUCUAAUAGCAGAGGGGAGACUACAGGAAUGACAAUCAUCACAACCAACGCAGAAUCAUCCACAAACCCCCAAACCCUUUCUUCUUUCCAGGAAGUUUGCAGUAAGCUGAACACCUAUGUUCAAAGCCAUAGUUUGAUACCUAAUGUAGAUGACGGGUUGAUGGGUGCAGCAAACCACCAUGGCACGUGUAUACCUAUGUAAAAAACCUGCACGUUCUGCACAUGUACCCCAGAACUUUAAAAAAAAAAAAGCCAUAGUUUGUAAGUUACCAACAGUUAUGUAGCAAAUAGAACAGUA